ACCCGGCCGACGAGUCCUAAAUAAGACGAAACUCGCGUUCUGGAU
rnacentral:hammerhead_ribozyme from 1 species